CUAAUCGAAUACAUCCUACAAGUUCAGUGUUAGUUGUCGUGAAAUUUUUUAAUCAACGCAAAAUGUAUACGAAUCCGUUCAGCCGCACUCAUUGCCAAGUUCGCCAAGUUAUUGACCGAUUUUUGGAGAAGACCCUCAAAGUUGGUACCAAGAAUGGAUCCAAGCGAUAUGGUUCGGACAGUUCUUUGACUUCUUCGUCAUCGAAAAGUAGCACCUGGAGUUGCAGUUCCAAAAAUGCCUGCAACAACAUCUUAAAAUAAGGCUCUUAGUUACGCAUAACCCUGGAAUAAGAUUAUGGUGUCCAAAGUGGCCCAAUGAAAAAAUUUUUGCUGUUGUGAAAUGAAGAAUCAUUCGUGAAGAACGUUUUUGCGUUUUGCCUUUGACGAUUUGAAAAAAAAUCAUUCGCAGUCAAAAACAAGCUGAUAUGCUUCAAGAUUAUUUUAUUUACCGUGUAAAUAAACACUACAUGAAUAAAAAUAAAGAAAUUGUUUCUUAAAA